AUGCUAAUGGGUAGAAAUAUUUUAUAUUAUAGAUCAAGAAUCCAAAGAAGAACGAGGAAAAGAAAAAGUAAAGGACUAAAGUGUAAGGUUUAGUCACAUUUUGUAUCAAGUACUUAUCUAGUCACUCGGGGAUCGAAGGAAAUGUCGGAGGCCGAUCACACUAUCAAAGAAAUAACUCGGUAUAACUAGACGUUUUGUUUUGGGUAUGGCAUGUAUAGAAACUUAGCUACUUUUGGUAUAAUAUGAAUAAUGAAUGAUGUGUAAA